GACGAACGCUGGCGGCGUGCUUAACACAUGCAAGUCGAACGGAAAGGCCCUGCUUUUGUGGGGUGCUCGUGUGGCGAACGGGUGAGUAACACGUGAGUAACCUGCCCUUGACUUUCGGAUAACUUCAGGAAACUGGGGCUAAUACCGGAUAGGAGCUCCUGCUGCAUGGGGUGGGUUGGAAAGUUUCGGCGGUUGGGGAUGGACUCGCGGCUUAUCAGCCUCUUGGUGGGGUAGUGGCUUACAAAGCCUUUGACGGGUAGGCGGCCUGAGAGGCUGACCGGCCACAUUGGGACUGAGAUACGGCCCAGACGCCAACGGGAGGCAGCAGUGGGGAAUAUUGCACAAUGGGCGGAAGCCUGAGGCAGCAACGCCGCGUGCGGGAUGACGGCCUUCGGGUUAUAAACCGCUUUCGCCUGUGACGAAGCGUGAGUGACGGUAAUGGGUAAAGAAGCACCGGCUAACUACGUG
rnacentral:rRNA from 1 species